UGACGCAGCGACGCCGCGUGCGGGAUGAAGGCCUUCGGGUGUAAACCGCUUUCAGCAGGGACGAAAUUGACGGUACCUGCAGAAGAAGGCCCGGCCAACUACGUGCCAGCAGCCGCGGUAAUACGUAGGGGCCAAGCGUUGUCCGGAUUUAUUGGGCGUAAAGAGCUCGUAGGCGGUUCGGUAAGUCAGCUGUGAAAUCUCCACGCUCAACGUGGAGGGGUCAGCUGAUACUGCCGUGACUUGAGUCUGGUAGGGGAGUGCGGAAUUCCCGGUGUAGCGGUGAAAUGCGCAGAUAUCGGGAGGAACACCAGUGGCGAAGGCGGCACUCUGGGCCAGUACUGACGCUGAGGAGCGAAAGCGUGGGGAGCGAACAGGAUUAGAUACCCUGGUAGUCCACGCCGUAAACGUUGGGCACUAGGUGUGGGAACCUAUCGACGGUUUCCGUGCCGUAGCUAACGCAUUAAGUGCCCCGCCUGGGGAGUACGGCCGCAAGGCUA
rnacentral:rRNA from 1 species